rnacentral:rRNA from 1 species
UGGGGAAUAUUGGACAAUGGGCGAAAGCCUGAUCCAGCCAUGCCGCGUGUGUGAAGAAGGUCUUCGGAUUGUAAAGCACUUUAAGUUGGGAGGAAGGGCAGUAAGUUAAUACCUUGCUGUUUUGACGUUACCAACAGAAUAAGCACCGGCUAACUUCGUGCCAGCAGCCGCGGUAAUACGAAGGGUGCAAGCGUUAAUCGGAAUUACUGGGCGUAAAGCGCGCGUAGGUGGUUCAGCAAGUUGGAUGUGAAAUCCCCGGGCUCAACCUGGGAACUGCAUCCAAAACUACUGAGCUAGAGUACGGUAGAGGGUGGUGGAAUUUCCUGUGUAGCGGUGAAAUGCGUAGAUAUAGGAAGGAACACCAGUGGCGAAGGCGACCACCUGGACUGAUACUGACACUGAGGUGCGAAAGCGUGGGGAGCAAACA